UGCCCAGCAACUCCUAUUCCUACCUCCUCGUGGUACUGGUCAGGGUACGAGUAACCUUGGGGAAAAUCGGGUAACCAACCCCCGUGGGAACUUUGGUCGUAUGCAGACAGAGUGCCAGAGAAGG
rfam:Aedes aegypti strain Liverpool supercont1.731 genomic scaffold, whole genome shotgun sequence.